UUGCUUUAGCAGCACAUAUACUAAAAUUGGAACAAUAUAGAAGAUUAGCAUGGCCCCUGCAUGAGGAUGAUUCGCAAAUUCAGGAAGCAUUCCAUGUUUAA
ensembl:snRNA U6 U6 spliceosomal RNA